UACGGAGGAUGCGAGCGUUAUCCGGAUUUAUUGGGUUUAAAGGGUGCGCAGGCGGCGUGUCAAGUCAGCGGUAAAAUGUCGGGGCUCAACCCCGGCCGGCCGUUGAAACUGGCGUGCUCGAGUUGGAGAGAAGUAUGCGGAAUUCGUGGUGUAGCGGUGAAAUGCAUAGAUAUCACGAAGAACCCCGAUUGCGAAGGCAGCAUACCGGCUCCACACUGACGCUGAGGCACGAAAGCGUGGGUAUCGAACAG
rnacentral:rRNA from 1 species